ensembl:snoRNA SNORD116 Small nucleolar RNA SNORD116
ACAGAUGUUGACUCCCAACUAAACAUUCUUUGAAAAAGCUAAACAUACCUACUGAAAACACACUACCAUCUGGCAUCAUUGAACAGAAUGU